GUAUCCCAUUACAUGAACAUAUACUGAAAGUGGAACAACACAGAUAAGAGCAUGGUCCCAGCCCAAGGAUGACACGCAAAAUAGUGAAGCGUUCCCAAACUUU
rnacentral:snRNA from 1 species